UCCGGUAGUGCUGAAAG
rnacentral:misc_RNA from 1 species